rnacentral:tRNA from 1 species
GUCCCCUUCGUCUAGUGGUCUAGGACAUCGCCCUCUCACGGCGAAAACAGGGGUUCGAGUCCCCUAGGGGACG